GAAGGUGGCAACCGUUGCUCGGAAUCACUGGGCAUAAAGCGCACGUAGGUGGCUAAGUAAGUCGGUGGUGAAAUACCUUGGCUCAACCAAGGAAGUGCCAUCGAUACUGCCAUGCUUGAGGACGGGAGGGGUGAGUGGAACUCUUGGUGUAGCGGUGAAAUGCGUAGAUAUCAAGAGAAACGCCGGUGGCGAAAGCGACUCACUGGACCGCUCCUGACACUGAGGUGCGAGAGCUAGGGGAGCAAACAGGAUUAGAUACCCUGGUAGUCCUAGCUGUAAACGAUGGGUACUGGGUAGGGGCGGACCAAUGCCGUCCCUGCCGCAGCAAAUGUGAUAAGUACCCCGCCUGGGGAGUAUGAUCGCAAGGUUA
rnacentral:rRNA from 1 species